AUCUGUACAAGGAGGAAGAGAGACAAAAAAGAGCCAACAACGUUCCUCUAACGUCAUUAGCUCUUGAUAAACUUGUUAAUGAACAUUUUCAUGAUUGGUUUAAACAAAGAGUAAGAUAUCAAAACUUUUCCUUACACAUUUUUAAGAUUAUAUGCCUAAUUUGACUAAGAAUUUUUUUUGUUUAGAUUAUAUAUACAUAUGAUUCAGUAGUUUCAGAAGAAAUUAGAGCCCUCGCGGUUAGUCCUAAGCAAAUCACACAAAGAUUUAAAAGAUUUUAUAUUAAUGGGUAUCAAUUUCAUACUAAAGAUCGCAAUGAGAACAAGAAAACACAAAAUUAUGGCGUUGUUAACAAAACUGAAGUUGGAAAUUUUUCUUAUUAUGGUCGACUGAAUGAUAUUAUUAAGCUUAAUUACUCCGACUAAUUUCGUGUGGUCUUGUUCAAGUGUGAUUGGGCUAACACAACUUCAGCCGGCACUAAAGUAGAUCAUUACGGGAAUACAUUGGUUAACUUUUCACGAUUAAUACACACAGGUGAUAAAUGGGCAGAUGAUCCAUUUGUUUUCUCAUCACAAGUUGAGCCCGUGUUUUUCAUCGAAGAUCCAAAGAAAAAAAACUGGAACUUUGUCUUACCAGUAAAGGCUAGAGAUGUGUUCGAUUCAAGCAUUUCUCAACCAAACAAUCAUAUGUAAAUUUAUGCAAAGUUCAUGUGAAUCAAGAUUAGAAUCUUGUGAAUUUUUUGUGUGCAAUACAUGGCUUUCUAACUUGGACUUUUUAAAUGUCUUGCUUCUCAGUUACUGUCAAACAAUAAUGUCUUGAAUGUUUCUUGUGAAAAUAAUGUUUGUUUUGGUUUUUUUAUUUGUUCAACUAUAAGUGAUUGAAUUCCCACAUUACUCUGCUAUGGAUGAAAAUUUUUCUUAUCUUCAUGUUUAUCACUUUUGUUACUAUAUUGUGUGUUUAUAAUUGUUUUCUAACUCAUUUCCAAUUAUAUGUAUCACAUGUCACUACAUAUAAAAUUUAGAGGGCAACGGUGGUGAGUAGCUCAAAUCUAUAGUUAGAGACUCAAAUUACUUGAGUUGCAUCCUUAUUUUUAUUCAAAUGAUCUUUAUGGGAGGGUUUCUAAGUCCAUCUUUGUUCAGCCUUUGAGUGAAAUUAACUGAAUGAUCAUGAAAUGUACCUUGCAUUCAGUACAAAAUAUAGAAAUUGCUAUAUUUUGUAAGUUCAUCCUUAUUUUAAGUCCAUCCUCAUUCAUACCCAAUGACAUUCAACUUGCCCGUCGCAUUAGAGGCGAGCAUGCUUAGGAUUUUAUUUCCUUUGCUCUGCGAUCUUUUGCUCUAUGAACUUUUAGGAAUAUGUUUCGUGGAUAUCUAUAUUCCUUAAUAUGAAAAACUAAAUUUGCUUAUGUUUGACAACUCUACUUUGCUGUGAUGAUAUGUAUUGGUGUUUUGUUAAUUUUUUGAUGAAUUAUUCUUUAAAUUCUCUAGAAUUCUGAAAUGUUUAUGUUUCUGGAUUUGAAUUUGUCUGUUCUUUCACUAUACAGUAAUAAUUUUCUAUAGUUCACCUUUGGCGUUGAGUUGUGAUAAUUAUUAUGCUUUACUUUCUUUGAGAAGAAGCUCACCUGCCAUUAAUCUCAAAGAUGUUGGAUGAUAUUUGUUCCAGUAGCAUUCGACAUUUCCUGUUAGAUUUUAUUUUUCAUCUUUUUAAACUUCUUGCCAAAAGAUUGCUAAUGGCGGCUAAAAUCAUUUGUUGAUCUUUAACGUUAUCUUUGGGUAGCUUAAUUUCAAUGUGAAAUGAGUAACGGAGCUUGAUUGAUAUUAAGCAAGUUGAAAUUUUGAAUCCCGUGUUCGAAGUGGUGUUUUGGCCCCGUUACUUGAGGAGACAGUGUUUAUGGUGUCCUUGACUAAGUGGUAAAAUUCGAAGUACCAACUUACUUUAUUCACUACUUGACGUGUAUGCUACAAUCAUUAAAUUCAGUUUGGUAGUACGUAAUUUGUUAAUUUUCCUUAAUGAAAUUUAACUUUUAGGUGCUUCCUAAGAAACCGUCAUCAAAUUUUAAAAUUGCUCUCAUAAUGUGUAGACUAAUUUUGUAAUACAGGUUUCCAACUCCAGUUUCAGUUCUUCUCAGUUCUGCAAUUUUUGCUCUUGCACACCUCACUUCUGGAGAGUUUCCUCAGCUAUUUGUGCUCGGAAUGAUAGGAAGCGGCUCAUUCCGACGUGCUAAAAAAGUUACACGUCGAGGAACUUCCAGUAUAGAGUAGAUUAGUAGAACUUCUAAUAAUGCAUCGACUCUGAUGCAUCCAGAUUUGUCCAAUGCUACUGACUGCAAUAACAACGAACAAUCUCCGAGUCAGUCAUCUCAAGAUUUAAGACGGCAGGUGCCAUCGAUGGAUGAUGGAAUUUGGCUCAUAGAUGAUGAGGGUGCUCUGAUAAAAAAGAGAGGCCGAACUACUUGUGCAGACAUACAGAGCAUGCCACCAGGUACACAGAUUCACAUUGAAGUCAAUGAGAAUAUGGUGCCAUGUAAUAUACCAGAGUCUAUUAUACUUGGUUCAUACUUAGGGGUUGUAGCUAGAGAUCCUAUUUUGACACCAAUCUCAUUCGCAAAUUGGCGUAAUAAAGGUAUGGAACCAUUUAAAAAGAGGAUGCUAGCAGAAGUAGAGGUCAAGUUUGAGUUACCCGCAAGUAUGAAACAUUAGAUACUACAAUCUCUUGGUUCCAAGUGGCGCAACUACAAAACUAAAUUGAAGGCAAAGCACUGGGAUAGUAGACCAUUACAGAAGAUCAUGGAGACUGUCCCUGCAGGAGUAGAUCCAGUGCAGUGGUGUCAGCUUGUUAGUAGAUGGUCACAACCUCAGGAUAAAGAGAGGGCAGCAAGAAAUGUGGAAAAUGCAAAAAAACAAACGUGUCCGCAUACGAUGGGUCGGGUGAGCUCCGUAAGGAGACAGGAAGAAACAUCUAUACGAGAUCGUCUGUUAUUAUGGAAAAUCAAUCGCACGCGUAAAAAUGGAUCAUGGUCAUCUGAGGAGGCCAGACAAAAAUGGGCACAUGCUUCUGAAAUGCUUGCCGAAGAAGGGUUAACGCCAGAAGAUGGAAAUUUUGAAGCCAAUGAAAAAGUCUUCAAGGCGAUCAUGGGGCCAAAACACCCAGGGAGGGUACGAACACAAGGUUUUGGGGUUAUUCCAAGCAGAUAUUUUCCUUGUAGCACCACGAAUCCAGGAAGUAGUAGUCGAGGCAAUACUAUAUUUGAUCGAGUUGUAAGACUUGAGGGGGUGGUACAAACAUUGCAAAGUGAGAUGAGACAAUUCAUGAAUAAAUACCAGGGACAACAUCCGCCACCAAAAAGUUCAAAUAUGGUAUGUAAAAUAAAAAAAUUACGUAUUUUCAUUUAUUAAUUAAUUUAUCAUAUUUAGUUUUUCUGAUGACUUAUAUAUUAAUAACAGGGAGAUAAUGAUCAAUUUUCGCCUAAUUGACAUCCAAGGUGUAGAAGAAGGGAAUAUAUAAUAUAAAUGUACACGAUAUUUUCAUUAUGUAUAGUCGAUUGUUUGUUUUGAAAUGUUAUAAGAAUUUUGUUUGUUUGGCUAUAAAUUGUAAUUUUUGUGAUGUAUGUUAAACUUUUGUCAUUUCUACUCUAAAUUUUUAUUGACAACUUACGUCAUUUGUACAACGGUAUUUGUUGUUACUUAGCACAAAUUUUGUUAUUUCUACUCUAAAUUCUUGUCAACAAUGCUUCAUUUAUUAAUUUUUGUGAUAUAUGUUCAACUUCUGUCAUUUCAACAACUUUUCGUUAGUGAUUUGGUGAUCAAGUAAAAAUUGAGAGAAAGAAUUUGAGCUGUCAAUCUUCUUCUGUAUGGAUUGAUAUCAAAUGGGGUCUAGCAUGGGCGGGGAGCUGCGAGAUCAUCUUACCGGUGAAAUCCCGAGAGAGCUUGGCAGCAUGUAUUAUCUCAUGGUGUUGAAUUUAGGCCACAAUAUGUUAUCAUGAUCCAUGUCUUUGGGGCUUGUUUUCUCUAUUUUCUGCAUCAUAGCCAUCAUCCUCAUUGCAGUAGAAAGCAAGAAGAGAAACAGAUUACUAAAGGAUAAUGGAAGCAGCAUAAAAGAAAUCUAUAUCGACAACCUUUCUCAUUUUUCCACAGCCUGGAAGAUGACUACCACGAAGGAAGCCCCGAGUAAAUUUUUUGUUUCUAUUUGACAGAAUGAUGUUGGGAGUCGUUAGGCAGAGGCUGGGAUGCAGAACCGUGGGAUUUUCGACAUUGAGGCAAGUCAUAGAGAGGGUUGGCCCGGCUGCCUUUGUUGCAGGGAAGCAACUCAUCUUCUGCUAAAGAGGUUGUCUUAGUGGCAGAAGUGAACGGAGGGAGCAAUCUGGACCUGGUUCCAGAGUCUGCCAUCCUUGGCGGAACUUCUAAAGCUUUCUCAAAUGCUAGCCUUCAUAAGCUCAGGCAAAGAGUAGAGGAUGUCAUUGUAAUGCAGUAGUGUAUAUAAAUGCUCUGCUUCAUUAUACUUCUUUGAGAAUUAACAAUUCUACCCUCCCAUUUUCAAUGUGAAGAAUGUGGUUGUUAGCCUGCUGGGUCCGAAGAACUAUAAGGAUGUUCCUCCAAUGAUGGGUGUAGAAGACUACUACUCAGAGAUUGUAAUUCUAUUACAUAGGCGUUAGAUUUGUGGAUAUUAUUUAAUUGUAAGACUAAGAUUUGUGGAUAUUAUGUUAAGUUUUUAUGCAUAAGGACAUACUUUUUCCAUGAUUUCUUGGUAGGAUAUUCAAAUUAAGGAACUUUGUUAUGAAGUUUGGAAACGAUGAAAGGGUUAUAUGCUUGGAUUAA